rnacentral:lncRNA from 1 species
AAAAAAAAGAAAGAAAGAAAGAAAGAAAGAGAAAGAGAAAAAUAAAAAGGAAAAGGAAAAGAAAAUGAAUCCAACAGACAAGCACUCCUCAAAGGUCCUUCAGAGGAUCCAUGAGUGAAUGCUGUCAGGAGCCACACGCCCCUGUAAGACUUUCUAUGGUGGUUCUGCAAGUUAUCACAGUCCCAAAGACAGCAUUUCACCACCGUUUCUAUUUGCUCUUUUCUUGAGGCAGUAUCGCUGCCCACAGCUAUGUCGGCCAGGGCCCCUGCUGAAGAUCCUGCCUAAGUCAACCCGUGUGGCCACAGGGCAAGCUGGCGGCAGAUCACACCAUCUGACCCCACCUAUCUUGCCCGCUAUGCCCCCGGGAAGACAGGCCUUCUUUCUCUCCUCUCUGAGCCUCCCUUCUGCCUGCCUUCCCAGCUCGAUUAGCCAGAUAAGGCUGUCUGCCAGGUGAGAGCAUUCGCCUAUAUGUCUGUGUCCCAGGUGAAAGCUGGAAGAGGGCAUCAGAUUCUCUGCAGCUGUACUUACAGACUGGCACGUAGAUGAUGGGACUCGAACCCUGGUCCUCUGGAAGAGCAGCCAAUGCUUUUAACCACUGACUCAUUUCUAGCCUCUCUGCGUGUGUGUGUGUUUCAGAGACAGGAUUUCUUUGUGUAGCCCUGGCUGUCCUAGAACUCUUUCUGCAGACCAGGCUGGCUUCCAACUAAGAGAGCCACCUGCCUUUGCCUCCUGAAUCCUGGGAUUAAAGGCAUGUACCACUCACUGCCUGGCUUAAAGUGGCUUUCUUUGGUCCCUUUUCCUAUCUAACAUUCUGAUGUGUCUCUACAAUGGGUGAAGGGGUUGCUUCCUAUUUUCCCAGGUAUGAACUGUGACUGCUUCCGUGAGUAUGGCCUGGGUACUUGGUAAGCUUGGUGACCUUCAUGAUUCCAGGUUAUGUCAGGUCCGGGGGCUCUCCUUGAUGUGUAUAUAAAGAGAUAAAGAGAGGAAGGGAUAUGUUCUAUAGAGGUGUGAUGAAGUAUGGGGGAAGUGGGUACCUUGGCAGGGUCCAUGCUGAGGCAUUCCCCCACUCCCAGUGAUUAUACCAAAUGACAGUAUAAUAUAGAGUAGAGUUUAUUUAGGGCAUGGGGAGGGGAGUUAAGAGGGUAGUAGAGGUAGAGAAAGGCAGAGAAAGAGGGAGGAAGGGAGGGAGAGAGAGAGAGAGAGAGGGAGAGAGAGAGAGAGAGAUUGGUCAUGAGCAUGGGGAGAGAGAGGGGGAAGGGAAAGCAAGAGUAAUAGAAAACAAGAGGGGAGCAAGAGAGAAAGGAGGGGGCAAGCAGCUCCUUUUAUAGUGAGUCAGGCCUACCUGGUUGUUGCCAGGUAACUCUGGGGCGGGGCUUAGACAGAAUGCUAACACUCCCAACUUUUGCUGGGCCCUCUCUUGGCAAGAGUCUGUUCUACUUGGAUCUACUCUGGAAGAGACUGUGGUGCUUAGAGGGGCUUUGACACAGGGGCUGCCUGGUCCUGGAUAAAGACUCAGGAUCUACAAUGGAGUCAGUUUGGGCAUCUGCUUCACCUUGUGUCAAAGGCUGGGGAGUGGCCACAGGGACCAAUGUUUAGUGGACUGUGUUGGGGACACCCUGCAGCCCUAGCAGGAUGACUGUGGUCUCAUAAACUGGCCAAGUUGCCAGUCACAUCACAUCA